CAGCCGCCGCGGUAACACGUAGGGUGCGAGCGUUAAUCGGAAUUACUGGGCGUAAAGCGUGCGCAGGCGGUUGUGUAAGACAGGUGUGAAAUCCCCGGGCUUAACCUGGGAACUGCGCUUGUGACUGCACAGCUAGAGUAUGGCAGAGGGGGGUGGAAUUCCACGUGUAGCAGUGAAAUGCGUAGAGAUGUGGAGGAACACCGAUGGCGAAGGCAGCCCCCUGGGCCAAUACUGACGCUCAUGCACGAAAGCGUGGGGAGCAAACAGGAUUAGAUACCCCGGUAGUCCCUGUCUCUUAUAC
rnacentral:rRNA from 1 species